rnacentral:lncRNA from 10 species
GUGGCUUGCUGGGAGUUAAAGCCCCCAAGGUAGGCUUGGGAUGCACUAAAAAGACAUUUGUAAUUUAUUCCACAAACUCUGUAUAAUCUUUGAAGUAUCUUAAAUGGUGAGGAAACUCCAAAAGACUUCUAUUUGAGAUUUAAAGAAUUGUUUUGAGAGCUUUAGGGAUGAAGCACUGACACGGGGUGAGUUGGUGCAGACUGGAGAUGACCUAGAGGCUACUGAAAGGAGGCAUACUCAAACUCAGGAAUAGUGGUGGGGAGGAAGAAGAGGAGAGGAUGACAAAACCGUGUUUAUAAGAUAUAAUCUCUGCCAUGAAGGCUGAAUGAGGAGAAGAAGGGUAAUUCCCAGGUUUUUGGAUUGAACGACUGGUAACUGAUAAAAACUUUUACGGAAAGAAGAUAUAGAAGAGAAUUAGUUCUGAUGGAGGGUAAGUGCAUGCAAUUUUAAAUGCAGUUUUAAUAGCUUAAGAAACAGGAACAAAUUGUCUCUAGAACCGUAAAACAAUUUUUUUUGAGGACCCAAGUUUAAGGGCAUUUUACAAAAAAUAGCUGGUUCAUACUCUUCAAAAAUGCCAGAGUCAUAACAGACAUGGGAAGACUAAAGAAUUCUUCCAGAUUAAAGAAGACUGAGUAGAUUUGAUAGUCAAAUACACUCAUAAUCCAGAAUUUCCUUUCUUUACAAAGAACAUUAUUGACAGUUGGAAAAAUUUGAGUACAGUCUGUAGAUUAGCAACCAGUAUUUUAUCACCACAAUACUAAUAUUGUAUUCAUUUUCGGAUUUUGUUAAUUGUGCUGUCGUAAUGUAAGAGAAUGUCCUUGAUUUUCAGUAAACAUACACUGAAGUAUUUAUGGGAAAAAGGAUAUACAACUUACCCUCAAAUGGUUCAGGAAAAAUAAACCUCUAUAUGUAUAAAGACUGAGUGCUAAAGGUAAUGUGAUAAAAUGCUAAUUUUUGAGAAUAUGAGCAAAGGG